CGGAUUAUUGGGCGUAAGCGCGCGUAGGCGGUUUUUUAAGUCUGAUGUGAAAGCCCACGGCUCAACCGUGGAGGGUCAUUGGAAACUGGAAAACUUGAGUGCAGAAGAGGAAAGUGGAAUUCCAUGUGUAGCGGUGAAAUGCGCAGAGAUAUGGAGGAACACCAGUGGCGAAGGCGACUUUCUGGUCUGUAACUGACGCUGAUGUGCGAAAGCGUGGGGAUCAAACAGGAUUAGAUAC
rnacentral:rRNA from 1 species